rnacentral:rRNA from 1 species
AUUGAACGCUGGCGGCAGGCUUAACACCUGCAAGUCGAGCGAGCGGCGGACGGGUGAGUAAUUUCUGGGACCCUGCCUGAUGGAGGGGGAUAACUACUGGAAACGGUAGCUAAUACCGCAUACCAUCAGAUAUUCCCAGAUGGGAUUAGCUAGUAGGUGGGGUAAUGGCUCACCUAGGCGACGAUCCCUAGCUGGUCUGAGAGGAUGACCAGCCACACUGGAACUGAGACAAGGUCCAGACUCCUACGGGAGGCAGCAGUGGGGAAUAUUGCACAAUGGGCGCAAGCCUGAUGCAGCCAUGCCGCGUGUGUGAAGAAGGCCUUCGGGUGGUAAAGCACUUUCAGCGAGGAGGCGUUACUCGCAGAAGAAGCACCGGCUAACUCCGUGCCAGCAGCCGCGGUAAUUC